ACUAACCAUAGCGCGAGAACUCGCAAUCCAGAGUUCCUACGAUAUCAUGAGAUUCCAUGUGGUUGCUGGGAACUGAACUCAGAACUUCUGGAAAAGCAGCCAGUGCUCUUAACUAUUGAGCCAUCUCUCCAAGUCCAUCCCCCUACAAUAUCAAAAGAAGAAUUAUGGAUGAAGAAUGUUACAGGAACUAAACAGAUGAUUUUGAGGCAAAUAAGAAAUCCAAAUGAAGCUGAAAUUAUGGCAAGCUCAAAUUAAGACAAACAACUUUAUAUAUUUCAACACACAGG